CCAGCCUGGAGCGAAUUCCCCCACCUGCCCAAAAAAUGAAAGGGGUCAGGUCUCAGGGGGAGGGAAACCAGAGUGUGUGCAGGGAGACAGCCAGCCAGGAGGGGAAGGGGCAGGGAGCAGGGGCAGUCAGGGCCCCGGGGAGGGCGGAGUAUGGCUCUCCACCACAACCGCUGAAGAACUGCGGGUUUCUCAGGACGGAACGGCGGAGCCCAAAUGACAGAGCUCCUGUCCCUGGAGUCUGGGCUGGUGGAGAGGGCGUGCAGCGCAAAUAAGGGACUGGCCUGUCUCCAAGGCCCUUCAGCCAUCAGGAGACGCCAGGACCCUGAGAUCUGACUGUCCCUCUCUGUUAAGGCAACACCCACACAGCUCAGCCCGCUGCCUGGUCCCGGGACGGAUGUCAGCAGAGUUCAGCAGAGAGCCGCUUGCUCAGGGCUUGAGGGCUGUGGAGUGAGGACAGAGGGGAGAACGUGAUGUCGUGUGUGGGACUUCAACAGAGAGCACUGACAAAGAACGUCCAGGCCACAGGGAGCCACUGUGGGAGCCGGAGCAGGGGAGCGACAGGAAUGGACACGGGGCUCCCCCGCAGUGACCCAGCCCUCUAGCCAGGUGUGCACAGCAGAGCAGGAUGACAAGAACAGACAUGCUACUGAUGAGCACUCACUGAGAGCGGGUGAGGGGCCAGGCCCGUUCUGAGCCCUUCGGGUCGAUGACUUCAUUCUGUCCUGGCGCGAUAAGUCUGCGUGGUGGGGACCACCACUGUCCUGUUUGUGCAGACAGGCAAAGCGACCCCCCGAGGUCACCCUGCUGGUCGCAGUGUCCCCGGGUCCCUGUGUAGCAGCUCUGGGCCGUCGUGUCCAGCGGGCCGGUGUGCUCGCUGCCUCCUGGCGUGUGUCUGGGAAGAUCGUCAGCAUCCCGGGCUCACUGUCCCCAUUUGUGCCCCGGGAGUGACUCCUGCCCGGCUCUCAGGGCAGCUCUCUCUGACCCCAAGACCAUGUAGCACCGUCCCAGCACUGCAGGCCAAGGCCGCCCGGGGACCCUCACAGUCUCAUCAUCUUCAGGAGGCAGGAAAAACCUCAAAGGGUUUCCUUGAAAGGCCCCUUUAAGCCAACUUGCUGUCAUUUUGAGAUUUUUCCUCCGGAGAUGAACAUGGAAGGAACUGCCUAGUGCUGACAAACUUUGGGAAACUUCCAAGCACUUUGGGAUUCCCUUUCCCUCUCGGUCCUGCAUCAGCCUGUCACCUUGAAAGGACAUGCGACACUCCCUUCGGCCAGGCAACCAGCUGGGGACCUUUAAUAUCCCUUGGCCAAGAGCUGCAGGUCAGGAAGAGGGCAGAGCCCCUGGCUCUGUGUCCCAUGUCCCUCUCAAGACCUGGCUGAGCCGCUGGUCCUCCCGGCCCACAGGGUCCCCACCCUGGACAGAGGCCAGCCUCGGGGCUCCCAGGGCCCUCCAGCCUCUGGUGCCGGUAGCCCUUCCUCCCUUGGGCCAGCACCGCAUGAGGCAGGGGCUGCUCCACUCCCAGGUCACUCCUGGGGACCAGCCCCCAGCAGCCUCUGCAGCGGGAUGCCAGGGCCCUCCUGCCCCCAGAGGAAGGCAAACUCCAGGAAGGGUGGUGCUCAGGCCCUCCUCUGGGCUCAGCACGGCCCUCGGAGCAUCCCUGAGGGCUCUGAGGACAAUCUCAGAGGCCUGGACAGGCAGGGCUCACCAGCGGCCACCUCGCCUCAGCCCAACUCCAGAAGGUUCUGCUCCUGUUUCAAAAGAAGGGUUUCCACCUCCAACAAGAAUCAACAGGGGCUGGAAACCAAGCGCACGUAAUCAGACCAGCUCCCUCCCAGACCCGAGCCUGGCAGGUCCACCUGCCUUCUGGCUCAUCUGCCCAGCUGCCUGUAGAUGUCACAAACUCGCCUGGCCCAAGGUGUCUAGGUGCCUGUCCCCCCGUCUCUCCACCCACAUCUCAUCCCUCAGCCCAUCCUGGUGGCUCCACCUGCAGAACCGCCCAGAAUCUGCUCCUUCCGCAUGCCCCCCGCCCCAACCUGGGCCAAACCACACCAGCCCUCCCUCUAAUGCCUGUGGUCCCUUGCUGCGCCCGCACCUCCAGUCUGCUCUCCACACACCACAGCCUGACCACGUCAGCUCACAUCCUCCUCUGCUCCACACCCUCCGUGGCCACCCUCCAGGCAAAGCCCGGCCCUGCCAGGCCCUGAUGACGAGCUGACCUCAUUUCCUGCCACCCCGCUCCCUCCUGCCCAUCCCACUCCAGCCGACCGGCCUCCCCAUCUUCUCUCACACACCAAGACCAUUCCUGCCCUUGCUCUUGCUGGUCCUUCCUCUUAGAACACUCUUGAUGUCCACACGGCUCCCUCGCCUCCUCCAGAUCUUUGAUCAAACGUCAUCUCCUCAGUGAGGCUUUCCCUGACCUCCCCUUCUCACCACCUGAGCCCUGGGCAGGCUCAGUCUGUCUGCAUGUGACACGUUCCCCCCACCACCUGUGAGCCCCCAGGAGCAGGCCAGAAUGCCAGGGUUUGAAUCCUAGCUCUGCCACUUACCAGCUGUGUGACUUGGGACAAGGUGCUUAACCUCUCUGUGCCUCCAUUUCCUCCUAUGUAAAAUGUACCUUCACUCUAGGUCGUUGUGGAAGCUAAUGAGUUAAUACGUACAAACUGUCUGGAAUGCAGAGACGUCCGUUAGCCAUUACUCGAAUCGUUAUGAUGUGCUGUGGACCAAGGCUUCCUGGCCAGUGGUCCGAAGACCUGGGCUGUGAUCCACCUCUGCCGCUACUCUCCACGUGGCCUUGGCUGCUCAGCCCCUGUGCCCUGCCCGAGAACAACAAGGGGCAGGGCCGCCAAAUCCUCCAGGGAGGGAGGAGCCACCACAAGGGCCCUGAGCGUGGGCGAGCCAUCAUCCAGUUCCACACCACGCUACGAUUCUGCAGACUAUCCCAGAAGCAAGGACAACCACUGAAUAAAUUCUCCAUUUGCAGCAAGUCACGCUGGCCACAGCGAGGAGGACAACAGACUGGAAACGGGCAAGAGUGAUAAUAAAUUGGGAGAAAAAUUGGGAGGGCGUUUCAAUUUUCCAAGCGCAAAACAGGACAGUCCUUUAGACGAGGGUGAUGGCAGUGGAAGUGGGGAGACACCAACAGGUUUAAAAGAUGGGAGGAUUGACUGAGGGGCCUGGGUGGCUAUGUGGCCCCAGGGUGGGGAAGGAAGGGAGCAGGCUUGGCUUCUCCUGUCUCACCAGCCGCGGGCUCUGGUCUUUGGGGAAGGCCGGUGAGCCUAUUCUCUGUUUGUUCUGGGGCUCCCUGUGUUCUCCCAAUAAAUCUCCCAUCUUGUUCAAAAGAAGAGCAUGAGCUGAAUAAAGGAGGGAACCCACGGCUUAAUAAGGCGAGGAGUGCUGAGUGAACUGAAGAAUGAGUGAUAGAGCCACCAGGGGGAUUCACUCAUGUCCCCAGCUGUUCAAAGAAUGAAGAGAAGGUAGGCUCAACCAGAAGAAAAAGGAAGUGGUCCCCACUGGGCAUACUCCGAGGGACCCCUCCUCCCCCACCAACGCCUCAGGGUCUCCACUCCUCCAGGGUGCGGACCAAUUUCAGCUGAGACAGAGAAGGGAGGGGUGGGCGGGAAGGAGGAGGGAAGGAGAGGCAGGCGACAUGGACGGUUCCGAGGGACCUCUGCCUCAUCCUCUCCUCCCGCCGUGUGGCCUCUCUGUGCUUCCCUUUCGGAGUCCACAAUUUCACCAUCCGUGGUGGGCGGGUUUGGGAGUCACCAACACGCCAGGAGAGAUUUUCUGUCGCAGCAGCAGCAUUGGGCAGCUCACAGGAGCUCAGAGCCCAGGGUCCUCCUCUGCCCUGGGUGCCCUUAACGGCCCGAAGGGGAAGGACUCAAAUGUGCAACUGUGUGACUGUGGCCUCCGCUCAGCCCAGCCCGCCUCUGGAGCAUCAUGGUCACUGUCCGAGAUGCUCACGGGCUGACUCGCAGCUGGAGACACGCUCUGAGACCAAGCCCCACCGUGUCAGAG
rnacentral:lncRNA from 1 species